AGUGAACGCUGGCGGUAGGCCUAACACAUGCAAGUCGAACGGCAGCACAGUAAGAGCUUGCUCUUACGGGUGGCGAGUGGCGGACGGGUGAGGAAUACAUCGGAAUCUACUUUUUCGUGGGGGAUAACGUAGGGAAACUUACGCUAAUACCGCAUACGACCUACGGGUGAAAGCAGGGGAUCUUCGGACCUUGCGCGAUUGAAUGAGCCGAUGUCGGAUUAGCUAGUUGGCGGGGUAAAGGCCCACCAAGGCGACGAUCCGUAGCUGGUCGGAGAGGAUGAGCGGCACCCCGGAAUGUGGCAACGGUUCCCACCCCCCUCGGGCGGGCGGGGGGGGAAAUUUGGGACAGAGGGCGGAACCCUGCCCCAGCCAACCCGGGGGGGUGAAGAAGGCCUUUGGUUUGGAAAGCCUUUUUUUGGGGAAAGAAAAGAAGCAGGUUAACCCCCCGUUUUUUGACGGGUCCCCACGAAAAAGCCACGGCUAACUUCGUG
rnacentral:rRNA from 1 species